GGUUCCCCCGGCGGACUAAUCCCCUUUAUUACUCCCGAGCACAGGGCCGGGGCUCUCUCCAGCAGGGAUCAGUCCCAAAGCUUCUGUCCCCGGAAGAGGCCCCGGGAGCCGUGCAGACACACAGCUCCUCACCCGAGCAGCAGGGGGGUGGGCUGCACAAAUGAGGUCAGGGCCCCCCUCUCUGCCAGGGCCUCCUGCUCCAGCCAAACAGUGAAUGAAGCCUCUCCGCUCCAUCAGAAAGGAUUUAUUGAACCCCCUGGAGGGGCAGCACCAGUCCGAGGAUUCAGAGGGAAGAUCAAUCACAGGUCCCUGCCCUCAGGCCGUUUAUAAUGGGCACUGCAGCCAGGAAGCCUUCCCUGAUUAACCCCAAAGGGACCCGAUUGCUCUUUUACAAGUCACCCCUUCACUUUCAGCGCUCCCAUCGCGGUCACUAACGCUCCUACCUCGCCCAGCCCUUAAAGAAUCAGUUUGGACAAUGUUCAUUGUACUGGGUGGUCUGCUCCUUUGUUUCCGGCCCCAAAUCUGUUUCCAAUGCCACCAGAAAUAGCUUUCUGACUCGGCCUGCAAGCUGCCUGAGGGCAGGAGGCAUACCCCCACCCCACCAAACCCUACCCCUGAGCCCAACCCCCAUCAUUUUACAGAGGAAAAGGAGCCGCAAAGAUGAAUGCCCAGCCCUAUGCAAGAGGAAGAGCAGAGUUGCUCAAGCCAGAGACCUUCUAUUUCUCAACCAGUCCGCCUCAGCGACUUCUUUAGCAGGGAGUCAAUCAGGCCAGA
rnacentral:lncRNA from 1 species